rnacentral:rRNA from 1 species
CGGGACGGGUGAGUAAUGUCUGGGAAACUGCCUGAUGGAGGGGGAUAACUACUGGAAACGGUAGCUAAUACCGCAUAACGUCGCAAGACCAAAGAGGGGGACCUUCGGGCCUCUUGCCAUCGGAUGUGCCCAGAUGGGAUUAGCUAGUAGGUGGGGUAACGGCUCACCUAGGCGACGAUCCCUAGCUGGUCUGAGAGUAUGACCAGCCACACUGGAACUGAGACACGGUCCAG